UCUCUGGUAGUCUAGCGGCUAAGACUCUGAACUCCCAGUGUAGCAGGCCUUGGGUUCGAUUCCUGGUCAGGGAA
rnacentral:tRNA from 1 species